rnacentral:rRNA from 1 species
AAUGAACGUUGGCGGCGUGGAUUAGGCAUGCAAGUCGCGCGGAAAGGCUCCUUCGGGAGCACUCAAGCGGCGAAAGGGAGAGUAACGCGUGGAUAUCUACCCUCGGAUCUGGGAUAGCGGCGGGAAACUGCCGGUAAUACCAGAUGACGUCUCCGGACCAAAGGUGUAAUUCCGUCCGAGGAUGAGUCCGCGUCCUAUUAGCUAGUUGGUGGGGUAAUAGCCUACCAAGGCGACGAUGGUUAGCUGGUCUGAGAGGAUGAUCAGCCACACUGGAACUGAAACACGGUCCAGACUCCUACGGGAGGCUG